GCCCCUCUUGUCUAAUGGCUAUGACGUCAGACUUCUAUAUAAGGAAAUUUCCAUUUAUGGCGAUCUGGAGGUUGCGGGUUCGAGUCCCGCGAGGGGUU